UACGUAGGUGGCAAGCGAUACUCGGAAUCACUAGGCGUAAAGCGCAGGUAGGCGGUUUGGUAAGUCUUUUGUGAAAGCUCCCGGCUCAACUGGGAGAGGCCAAGGGAAACUACUAGACUAGAGUGUGGUAGGGGAUACUGGAAUUCCUGGUGUAGCGGUGAAAUGCGUAGAUAUCAGGAGGAAUACCUAUGGCGAAAGCAGGUAUCUGGGCCAUCACUGACGCUGAGCUGCGAAAGCUAGGGGAGCAAACAGG
rnacentral:rRNA from 1 species